CAGCCGCCGCGGGAAUACGAAGGGUGCAAGCGUUACUCGGAAUUACUGGACGUAAAGCGUGCGUAGGUGGUGGUUUAAGUCCGUUGUGAAAGCCCUGGGCUCAACCUGGGAAUUGCAGUGGAUACUGGGUCACUAGAGUGUGGUAGAGGAUAGUGGAAUUUCCGGUGUAGCAGUGAAAUGCGUAGAGAUCGGAAGGAACAUCCGUGGCGAAGGCGACUAUCUGGGCCAACACUGACACUGAGGCACGAAAGCGUGGGGAGCAAACAGGAUUAGAUACCCGCGUAGUCCCUGUCUCUUAUAC
rnacentral:rRNA from 1 species